rnacentral:rRNA from 1 species
UACGUAGGUGGCAAGCGUUGUCCGGAUUUACUGGGCGUAAAGAGCGCGCAGGCGGUCGGAUCAGUCGAAUGUGAAAGCCCCCCGGCUCAACUGGGGGAGGGUCAUUCGAUACUGUCCGACUCGAAGGCAGGAGAGGGAAGCGGAAUUCCCGGUGUAGCAGUGAAAUGCGUAGAUAUCGUGAGGAAGACCGGUGGCGAAGGCGGGUCUCUGGACAGUUCCUGACACUGAGGCACGAAGGCCAGGGGAGCAAACGGG